rnacentral:rRNA from 1 species
GAUGAACGCUGGCGGCGUGCCUAAUACAUGCAAGUCGAGCGAACAGACGAGGAGCUUGCUCCUCUGACGUUAGCGGCGGACGGGUGAGUAACACGUGGAUAACCUACCUAUAAGACUGGGAUAACUUCGGGAAACCGGAGCUAAUACCGGAUAAUAUAUUGAACCGCAUGGUUCAAUAGUGAAAGACGGUUUUGCUGUCACUUAUAGAUGGAUCCGCGCCGCAUUAGCUAGUUGGUAAGGUAACGGCUUACCAAGGCAACGAUGCGUAGCCGACCUGAGAGGGUGAUCGGCCACACUGGAACUGAGACACGGUCCAGACUCCUACGGGAGGCAGCAGUAGGGAAUCUUCCGCAAUGGGCGAAAGCCUGACAGAGCAACGCCGCGUGAGUGAUGAAGGUCUUCGGAUCGUAAAACUCUGUUAUUAGGGAAGAACAAAUGUGUAAGUAACUAUGCACGUUUUGACGGUACCUAAUCAGAAAGCCACGGCUAACUACGUG